UACGUAGGCAGCAAGCGUUGUUCGGAGUUACUGGGCGUAAAGGGUGUGUAGGCGGUUAUUUAAGUUUGGUGUGAAAUCUCCCGGCUCAACCGGGAGGGUGCGCCGAAUACUGAAUGACUUGGAGUGCGGGAGAGGAAAGUGGAAUUCCAGGUGUAGCGGUGAAAUGCGUAGAUAUCUGGAGGAACACCGGUGGCGAAGGCGGCAUCCUGGACCAACACUGACACUGAUGAGCGAAAGCCAGGGGAGCAAACGGG
rnacentral:rRNA from 1 species